rnacentral:rRNA from 1 species
GACGAACGCUGGCGGCGUGCUUAACACAUGCAAGUCGAACGGAAAGGCCCUGCUUUUGUGGGGUUCUCGAGUGGCGAACGGGUGAGUAACACGUGAGUAACCUGCCCUUGACUUUCGGAUAACUUCAGGAAACUGGGGCUACUAUAGUACAGGAGCUCCUGCUGCAUGGUGGGGGUUGGAUAUUUUCGGCGGUUGCGGAUGGAUUGGCGGCUUAUCAGCUUGUUGGUGGGGUAGUGGCUUACCAAGGCUUUGACGGGUAGCCGGCAUGGGAGGGUGGACGGCGACAAUGGGACUGAGAGAGGGCCCAGACGCCUACGGGAGGCAACAGUGGGGAAUAUUGCACAAUGGGCGGAAGCCUGAUGCAGCAACGCCGCGUGCGGGAUGACGGCCUUCGGGGUGUAAAACGCAUUCGCCUGUGACGAAGCGUGAGUGACGGUAAUGGGUAAAGAAGCACCGGCUAACUACGUG